GGUAUUUUGAAAAAAAUUACCAAAAUAAUUGAAACUGGCAAAAUUAUAUUGUGUUAUUUUGACAAAUAAAAUAUGCAGAAUUUUAAAAUAUUGUGUGCAGGAUUCCCCCAGGAGUAACAUAGGUUGCAAGGCUGUGGAGAAUCAGGCUAGCUAAAUACAGGAUUGGGCCUGCUUGAAUGAAUUAUUAAGUAAUGUGUUCUGAGCAAUUAGAGUCAGCAGUUAACAGACAGCUCUUUCCUUUUGGGAAAGGACAUUGCUCAUUUAUAAAGGUCUUUUCAAAUGUUGCUGGUCUAAAACUAUUACUUUUUGAUUAACUUCACUUAGAAAUCAGCCUUUUUUAAGAUCCUGAGAUGGGGCAAAGCUCAACAGCUCAGCCUUCAUGUCCGCAUGAUCCUUAGCCUCUUUUCGGUGAGACUGCCAACAGGAGACAUGAACCUUAUCUGCUAUGAACUGGACUGAUGCCACAAAUUCAUUUAACAUAUAGGCCACGGUACAGUCAGAAGGCAGUUUUUAAUGAGACUCUUUAUAAAAGGGCUGCUGAGCUAUGACAGUUUAAAACAAGGAGGAUUUUCAUAGCAUAAACCUCAAGCAUUGAAAAAUCCAUCUGAACCCUGGGAGAGGCACUGAGCAGUACCACUUGUGCCCCUUGUGCUGAAUCAACACUUCUGGAAGCAGCACUAGAGUGACUGAGCAGAGGCUGCCAAGUGAACAAGACAAGAG